rnacentral:rRNA from 1 species
AUUAACUGAAUCCAUAGGUUAAUGAGGCGAACCGGGGGAACUGAAACAUCUAAGUACCCCGAGGAAAAGAAAUCAACCGAGAUUCCCCCAGUAGCGGCGAGCGAACGGGGAGCAGCCCAGAGCCUGAAUCAGUGUGUGUGUUAGUGGAAGCGUCUGGAAAGGCGCGCGAUACAGGGUGACAGCCCCGUACACAAAAAUGCACAUGCUGUGAGCUCGAUGAGUAGGGCGGGACACGUGGUAUCCUGUCUGAAUAUGGGGGGACCAUCCUCCAAGGCUAAAUACUCCUGACUGACCGAUAGUGAACCAGUACCGUGAGGGAAAGGCGAAAAGAACCCCGGCGAGGGGAGUGAAAAAGAACCUGAAACCGUGUACGUACAAGCAGUGGGAGCACGCUUAGGCGUGUGACUGCGUACCUUUUGUAUAAUGGGUCAGCGACUUAUAUUCUGUAGCAAGGUUAACCGAAUAGGGGAGCCGAAGGGAAACCGAGUCUUAACUGGGCGUUAAGUUGCAGGGUAUAGACCCGAAACCCGGUGAUCUAGCCAUGGGCAGGUUGAAGGUUGGGUAACACUAACUGGAGGACCGAACCGACUAAUGUUGAAAAAUUAGCGGAUGACUUGUGGCUGGGGGUGAAAGGCCAAUCAAACCGGGAGAUAGCUGGUUCUCCCCGAAAGCUAUUUAGGUAGCGCCUCGUGAAUUCAUCUCCGGGGGUAGAGCACUGUUUCGGCAAGGGGGUCAUCCCGACUUACCAACCCGAUGCAAACUGCGAAUACCGGAGAAUGUUAUCACGGGAGACACACGGCGGGUGCUAACGUCCGUCGUGAAGAGGGAAACAACCCAGACCGCCAGCUAAGGUCCCAAAGUCAUGGUUAAGUGGGAAACGAUGUGGGAAGGCCCAGACAGCCAGGAUGUUGGCUUAGAAGCAGCCAUCAUUUAAAGAAAGCGUAAUAGCUCACUGGUCGAGUCGGCCUGCGCGGAAGAUGUAACGGGGCUAAACCAUGCACCGAAGCUGCGGCAGCGACACUGUGUGUUGUUGGGUAGGGGAGCGUUCUGUAAGCCUGCGAAGGUGUGCUGUGAGGCAUGCUGGAGGUAUCAGAAGUGCGAAUGCUGACAUAAGUAACGAUAAAGCGGGUGAAAAGCCCGCUCGCCGGAAGACCAAGGGUUCCUGUCCAACGUUAAUCGGGGCAGGGUGAGUCGACCCCUAAGGCGAGGCCGAAAGGCGUAGUCGAUGGGAAACAGGUUAAUAUUCCUGUACUUGGUGUUACUGCGAAGGGGGGACGGAGAAGGCUAUGUUGGCCGGGCGACGGUUGUCCCGGUUUAAGCGUGUAGGCUGGUUUUCCAGGCAAAUCCGGAAAAUCAAGGCUGAGGCGUGAUGACGAGGCACUACGGUGCUGAAGCAACAAAUGCCCUGCUUCCAGGAAAAGCCUCUAAGCAUCAGGUAACAUCAAAUCGUACCCCAAACCGACACAGGUGGUCAGGUAGAGAAUACCAAGGCGCUUGAGAGAACUCGGGUGAAGGAACUAGGCAAAAUGGUGCCGUAACUUCGGGAGAAGGCACGCUGAUACGUAGGUGAAGUCCCUCGCGGAUGGAGCUGAAAUCAGUCGAAGAUACCAGCUGGCUGCAACUGUUUAUUAAAAACACAGCACUGUGCAAACACGAAAGUGGACGUAUACGGUGUGACGCCUGCCCGGUGCCGGAAGGUUAAUUGAUGGGGUCAGCGCAAGCGAAGCUCUUGAUCGAAGCCCCGGUAAACGGCGGCCGUAACUAUAACGGUCCUAAGGUAGCGAAAUUCCUUGUCGGGUAAGUUCCGACCUGCACGAAUGGCGUAAUGAUGGCCAGGCUGUCUCCACCCGAGACUCAGUGAAAUUGAACUCGCUGUGAAGAUGCAGUGUACCCGCGGCAAGACGGAAAGACCCCGUGAACCUUUACUAUAGCUUGACACUGAACAUUGAGCCUUGAUGUGUAGGAUAGGUGGGAGGCUUUGAAGUGUGGACGCCAGUCUGCAUGGAGCCGACCUUGAAAUACCACCCUUUAAUGUUUGAUGUUCUAACGUUGACCCGUAAUCCGGGUUGCGGACAGUGUCUGGUGGGUAGUUUGACUGGGGCGGUCUCCUCCUAAAGAGUAACGGAGGAGCACGAAGGUUGGCUAAUCCUGGUCGGACAUCAGGAGGUUAGUGCAAUGGCAUAAGCCAGCUUGACUGCGAGCGUGACGGCGCGAGCAGGUGCGAAAGCAGGUCAUAGUGAUCCGGUGGUUCUGAAUGGAAGGGCCAUCGCUCAACGGAUAAAAGGUACUCCGGGGAUAACAGGCUGAUACCGCCCAAGAGUUCAUAUCGACGGCGGUGUUUGGCACCUCGAUGUCGGCUCAUCACAUCCUGGGGCUGAAGUAGGUCCCAAGGGUAUGGCUGUUCGCCAUUUAAAGUGGUACGCGAGCUGGGUUUAGAACGUCGUGAGACAGUUCGGUCCCUAUCUGCCGUGGGCGCUGGAGAACUGAGGGGGGCUGCUCCUAGUACGAGAGGACCGGAGUGGACGCAUCACUGGUGUUCGGGUUGUCAUGCCAAUGGCACUGCCCGGUAGCUAAAUGCGGAAGAGAUAAGUGCUGAAAGCAUCUAAGCACGAAACUUGCCCCGAGAUGAGUUCUCCCUGACUCCUUGAGAGUCCUGAAGGAACGUUGAAGACGACGACGUU